rnacentral:rRNA from 1 species
AUUCCAGCUCCAAUAGCGUAUAUUAAAGUUGUUGCGGUAAAAAAGCUCGUAGUUGGAUUUCUGUCGAGAACAGCCGGUCACGAUUUUGUCGUUGUAUCUGGUUUGGUCUUGGCAUCCUCUUGGGGAACAUUUCUGCGCUUCACUGCGUGGAGUGGUAUUCAAGACUUUUACUUUGAGGAAAUUAGAGUGUUCACGGCAGGCAAUCGCCCUGAAUAUAUUAGCAUGGAAUAAUGAUAUAGGACCUUGGUUCUAUUUUGUUGGUUUCUAGAACUAAGGUAAUGAUUAAUAGGGACAAUUGUGGGCAUUCGUAUUAACGCGUCAGAGGUGGAAUUCUUAGAUUGCGUUACGACGAACUACUGCGAAAGCAUUUGCCAAGGAUGUUUUCAUUA